GCCAUCUUGGACACACUGACCUCCGCUCCGGAAGUGAAUGUUCCCGUGUCGCUCAGUAACCGAAGAUCUACAGUUGCUAUGAUACUGCUUGGAAUUUCAAUUGGAGCAGAGAAUAAACAAUGUAAAUGGUACCUUUGCCUGUGUUUUCAAGGAAGAAGAUUAUAUUUCAGCUGCAUUUCAACAAUCAGAAAUGUUUUGAUGAUUAACCAUGUGUUUAAAAAUAAUAUGGAACAAUUACAACCGUGCUUCUUAGUAUUUUGGAGCAUACUUGGAAUGUCAAAUAAACAUCUUGGCUUCAGAGCUA